rnacentral:rRNA from 1 species
CUAAUACAUGCAAGUCGAGCGAGAAAGUCCAAACCCGCAAGGGGGAGGGCGAGUACAGCGGCGAACUGGUGAGUAACACGUGAUCAACCUACCUCUCCGACAGGGACAACCUUUGGAAACAAAGGCUAAUGCCUGAUGGCGUUGCUUGCCCACAAGGGCGAGCAAAUAAAGGGGCGUUUGCUCCGCGGGGAGAUGGGGUCGCGGCCCAUCAGCUAGUUGGUAGGGUAACGGCCUACCAAGGCGAUGACGGGUAGGGGGCCUGAGAGGGCGAACCCCCACAUGGGGACUGAGAUACGGCCCUGACUCCUACGGGAGGCAGCAGUAGGGAAUCUUCCGCAAUGGACGAAAGUCUGACGGUGCAACGCCGCGUGAGUGAGGAAGGUUUUCGGAUCGUAAAGCUCUGUUGUGAGGGAAGAACAGCAUCCGGAGGAAAUGCCGGAGGUUUGCCGGUACCUCACCAGAAAGCCCCGGCUAACUACGUGCCAGCCGCCGCGGUAAGAC